GCCGCGGCGGCGGAGCGGAGCAGCCGCGGGGGGGUUGCCCGGAGUGGCGGCGGCGGCGGCGGGGCGGCAGCAGCACGCAGGGGCUGGCCGAGAGAAAAGCGGGGGCGUCUCCAGCCCGCGGCCCAUCUUCCCUCUGGGGAGGUAUCUUCCUGAAGGACUGAUAAAAUCCCAUUGUGAGAUGCUCCAUCCAGGGGGAGGAGCCAAGCAUUCCUAUCUGGGUAUAAUGUGAUAUCUGGAACCACAGUCAGCCACCAGAAUCCCAGAGGGGCAACUUUCUUUUCCACUGGGUUCCCAGAGGAAGAGCAGACCCAUCUAUACCACCACUGGACCUUCAGAGGAAAAACACACCCUUCUACAGGAUCACUGCUUCAACAGAGCCACACCUGCCACUCCAGGAGGACUGCAGCCACCUUGUAAUCAGACUGCUACCAACACGCUGACCAAAAGGGUGUCAGGUCAUAUUCUGACUCUGUCAGUGUUUUUUUAAUAUUAUUUCAUUUUUUAUUUUAUUUUUAUUUUAUUUCCUAAUAAAGAACUGUUAUUCAAAUUC